rnacentral:rRNA from 1 species
UGGGGAAUAUUGCACAAUGGGCGCAAGCCUGAUGCAGCCAUGCCGCGUGUAUGAAGAAGGCCUUCGGGUUGUAAAGUACUUUCAGUCGGGAGGAAGGUGGUAAGGUUAAUAACCUUGGCAAUUGAAGUUACCGACAGAAGAAGCACCGGCUAACUCCGUGCCAGCAGCCGCGGUAAUACGGAGGGUGCAAGCGUUAAUCGGAAUUACUGGGCGUAAAGCGCACGCAGGCGGUUGAUUGAGUCAGAUGUGAAAUCCCCGGGCUUAACCCGGGAAUUGCAUCUGAUACUGGUCAGCUAGAGUCGUGUAGAGGGGGGUAGAAUUCCAUGUGUAGCGGUGAAAUGCGUAGAGAUGUGGAGGAAUACCGGUGGCGAAGGCGGCCCCCUGGACAAAGACUGACGCUCAGGUGCGAAAGCGGGGGGAGCAAACAGG